AAAUGCGGAAGAGAUAAGUGCUGAAAGCAUCUAAGCACGAAACUUGCCCCGAGAUGAGUUCUCCCUGAGACUUAAAGUCUCCUGAAGGAACGUUGAAGACGACGACGUUGAUAGGCCGGGUGUGUAAGCGCAGCGAUGCGUUGAGCUAACCGGUACUAAUGAACCGUGAGGCUUAACCUU
rnacentral:rRNA from 1 species